rnacentral:rRNA from 1 species
AUUGAACGCUGGCGGCAGGCCUAACACAUGCAAGUCGAACGGUAACAGGAAGAGGCUUGCUUCUUUGCUGACGAGUGGCGGACGGGUGAGUAAUGUCUGGGAAACUGCCUGAUGGAGGGGGAUAACUACUGGAAACGGUAGCUAAUACCGCAUAAUGUCGCAAGACCAAAGAGGGGGACCUUCGGGCCUCUUGCCAUCGGAUGUGCCCAGAUGGGAUUAGCUAGUAGGUGGGGUAACGGCUUACCUAGGCGACGAUCCCUAGCUGGUCUGAGAGGAUGACCAGCCACACUGGAACUGAGACACGGUCCAGACUCCUACGGGAGGCAGCAGUGGGGAAUAUUGCACAAUGGGCGCAAGCCUGAUGCAGCUAUGCCGCGUGUAUGAAGAAGGCCUUCGGGUUGUAAAGUACUUUCAGCGGGGAGGAAGGGAGUAAAGUUAAUACCUUUGCUCAUUGACGUUACCCGCAGAAGAAGCACCGGCUAACUCCGUG